GGAAGGGUGCAGGCCUGUUGGUAUGGUGGACAUAUCGAGUGAAAUGGAGAUAGUGCCAGGGGUGGGGCAGGAGGGGUGGAGAGGUAGAUCUGUUAGAUUUGGAAGGACCUUCCUUGUCAUGUGUUUAGGAGUCCGGAGUUUCACUAACUGGCAAUGGAGAACAAUGAAGGAGGAGAGGAACAAGACUAAUCAUAUUUUUAUUUUAGAAAAGAUCACUCUGGAUCAUGCAGCAGUGUAGCAAAGAGAAGACUCCUUCCUACUUUCCCUUCCUCUCUCUUUCUUACUAACCUCUCCUUUUCUCCUUCUUUUUAUUCUCUCUCUCUCUCUCUCUCUCUCUCUCUCUCUCUCUCAAUUAUGUCUUACCUGGAAAGGAGUCCAAAGUAUCCUGGAAAGGUCAAUCUACAUUCUCUCUUAUUAAAUAUUUCUGAAUCCCUCAUUUCAGAAGUAGCCAAAACGUUGAUGAUUGGAGUUCCUGAGGUACCUCUAAACUUAGUAAAAAAAAAAAAUGAUAGAAUUAGAAAAGAAUAAGUAAAGGAGGGUAAUUUUUUUCCGUCUUACCUCUUUGUUUCCCAAGCAUGUGGUAUUUCUGAUCCAGGAGAAAAGCUAAAAUACCCUGUAGAUAAAAGUUCACCCAAAACCCCCACAGCAAGGCUCAAGUUAUGCAAUAGUAAAUGUGAUUAAUUACUGUAAUAAUUCUUAGGAUUGGAAAUUACUCAAGUCUGUGCCUUGGUGUUUCCAUUAAGGCUCAGAAUAUGAAAAUGUCCUUGGCCUUGACGCAAAAUUGAAAUGAAGGCCAAAGUUGAAAAAUAAUACGUCUGCCUGGUCCCACCAGUCCUAUAUAAUAUGUGGUGUGGUUCUCUGCCCUCCAAGAACAAAUUCAAUGAUACCAGUCCAUCUAAAUUCCUUGGGUCCUAGAGGCCAGGACAAGCCAGAAAAGUAGCCCAUCAUAGCACAGAGGCCACAGCACAGGUAGUAAAGGCAAGGAGACAAGCCUGAGGUCAGAUCAGAUCACAGAUAGGCAUCUGUGGAACCACAUUCCUUCACUUCUUGGGACCUGCUGCUUAGCCUGUAAGAUGCAAGAAGAAAAAUCCAUCCCAGAGUUCAGGUUUGAGAUGAAAAUGAGAGGCUAUAUGGAAAACAAUGAGUACAUAAUUCACACCAAAUAAAUGCUUGUUGAAUAAAUGAAUGAAGGAAUAUGUAAGUGGACAUAAAACAACUUUCUUCUAUGUAAUGAAAGUCAUAUAAAUGGGAAGACCAGACAGAUCUCUCAAGGUCCCCCCCCCCCCCAGUUUCCUUGAAUCUAAAGGUCAAUGGCUAUGCUGUCUAUUAUAGCAGCCACUAGUUUGGUGUGCAUAUGGAGCAUUUGAGAUAUGGCUCAUCCAGAAUAAGAUGCAGUGUAAGUGUCAAAAACUGACAUAAACCUCAAAGAUUUAGUAUGUCUUGGGACAUAUGAGAAAAUGGCUAAAACCACUCAAUAUUUCUUAUAUCAAGUACAUGUUGGGUGACAGUAUUUUGGACAUACUAGGUUAAAUACAAGGUAUUAUCAAAAUUAAAAAAAUGAUUUUUUUCUAACUUCCAAAACUCAAAAGGAGAAAAAGAUGCAGAUGACUGUGCAAAGAUGACUUGGGCAAAGGAAUCUGACCUGAAGAGGGCCAAGGUUCAGAAUGUGUGUAGGAUCCACUGGAGAAGCCCACCUAUGCACUUGCAGACUUCCCCUGACAAGAGGCCAAGCCAUUAGAUGUCUGCCUAUCUGGUCCUUCAAACUUAGGGAGCUUACCUGUCACUAAGCCAAGGCCUUUCACUUACUCAAGUUAGGGUGACUCUUGGGAGAAGAACUUGAAAAUGUGCCCUUCUCAUGAGACCUGGUGCUAUUUCAGCAAAAUAAAAAUAAAUAAAUAAUGAAAAUUUAAUACAGUACAAUAAAAAGCAAACAGCCUCUGAAAAGAUCACAAAGAAAGCUUCAGAGAAAGCUGCCAUCCCUCGUCUCAUGUUAACGUCCUCUCAUAUUCUCCUUUACAGCUAUUCUAAAUCCCAGCUGCUUUCCUCUGCCCCCCUUUCUCCUGACCCACCAAUCCCUUAUUCUGAACAUCUAAUCUGAGAAGAUGUCUUCCUCUCACUUCUGAGGAGACGGGGCUGUUGGAAUCCUGUCCCCUUGGUGUUCCUCCUCUCCAUCUUCCAGUUACAUCUCACCUGGUCCUCAUCCCUCUUCCUCUCCCUCUAUCUGAGAGGGGGUGGUGUGGUGGAGCAAGGCAGAGCAAGGUGUGCCAUGGGGACGUACAGGGUCAUGGAUACCUGUAGAUUUUAGAUGAAAUUCUUGUUCCAACAGUCUCCGUUCAUAUAAAAUUGAGCCUCAGCAUUUUCAUCUGUAAAGUGGGGAGUUUAAAUAGCCUACUUUACUUUUCUCCAAUGACAUAAUACAUGUGAGCCUACAGGACCCUAUUUAUCAAAAUUAAUAGCCAUUUGAAGUGUCCUUCCAUAUAUACACACAUUCAUGUGUCCUUAAUCUAUGUGUGAGUUAUGGUCCUCCAAAAUUAUGUUAGUUGAGUCUUGGUCUAAAUAGGUCACUAAUUUUUUUUUAUUUUGUUUACUUUUGGGGGUGGAGGAUAAAUAAAUAAUUUGUGGUAUUUUCUACAUAUUUUGACUAAUAGGGAUUAAUAAAGGAUAGUUAUUUGACAUCUUAACUAUGUGCAUGGUAUUGUCAUAGGUGUUUUUUUAUGUUUGGUGAAGACCUCAUAUAGUCCUAUGAAGUUAGAAUUAUAAUUCUCUGCUUUUUGAAGAUGUGUCAAUAAGCUCAGUGGUACUAUCUUGUCCGUGUUCACAUGGCUAAGAAUGAGUUAGAUCGGGAUUUACUGCAAUGUAGCUGGAGUCUAGAGCUUCAGCCUUGAACUCCCAACUCUCUUGCCUUUCCAUGAUCAAAUCUGUCUACUCACCACCUUCCACUCCCAAGCUUCGUUUGACUUCUCUUCCCUUUAUCUAUUGACUUUGCCAUCUUGGACUCAUGCCCAUUGCAAAGAUUGUCACACAUGUCAGCCAUUGAUUGAUUAAUUCUACAAGCAUUCAUUGAGUCCUGCUAUGUUCCCAUCAGGAAUAUCUAGGAUAAAACAAAAUAAAUGAAGCUAACAAUGAAAAAAAAAAAAAAUCCAAUACCAACCAACUACAAAACAAAUAGAAAAAAUGACUGUAUUUCAUAUCUAGGGCAGGGUAAAAAUGUUACAUAAUUGAUACCAUUUUAGUAUAGGGACCAUGUGAACAUAUUAGACGAGAAACUUACUAUUGUUUCUAAAUAAUUCAGUUAGCAAAAGAAUACGAAUGUAUUUUAUUUGUGGAACCCAGAAUACUGACAAAAACAGAAACAACAAAUGUAGGAUAAUCUUCUAGGGUAUCCAUUCUGACAGGCCUACUAGGUCCUUCUCUAUGUUACCAGCCUUUGAAGUACACAGUCAGUGGCCCUGCACCCCAUCCCCACUGUAAGAUUCCCUUCUUUGUCUUAAGCCAGAGACUGUCAGUGAAUAUUCAUGAUCACCCAGAGAAUGGAGAGACUGCAGAAAAGCCAUGCAUUUUAGAAUCCAGAAUGAAAUGCAUCCUUGCUGAAAGAGCACAGAAAAAACAAUGGCGAGACCAGUUCUUAGUCCAUCUUUAACCAGUAACAUAUUAUUUAAUCAGGUUCAAGGAACUCACCUGAAUUUUCCUAUCUUUAAAGAAGGAGAUGGAUUAGAUUUGGUUGUGACAUUAUGAUGCUCUGAAUUAUAGAUUAGAUCCAGGGAUCUAGGGAGAAAAUCUCAGGGAAAAGAUUUAGAAAAUUAUCCUAAAUUCCUUCUUUUGACAAAGGACCAAACAUUCAAAAGAAAGAAAUCCCAUGAUUCUUCAGUUGGAUAAGCCGAUCUUCUGACCACCUUCACCUUAAGGACAUUUCUGAAUCACAGCACAGAUGAACAGUCUCUGCUGAGGCAGGAUUAGGAAGAUGACAUAGAGAUGUUGCCUGGAUUCCCAGAAGGAGACAGGUAGAUAAGGAUGGACAGCAUUGUUAUCUUCACAAAAGUGAUGUCUCACCUUGUUUGUGAGUGUCUGGCCUACAUCUCAGUUCCCUGAAACCACAUAUUCAACACGACACCCUUAGAACUCUUUUCUUCUUGAAACAGUUUUUAUUUAAACUGGUUACUUUAAAAUGUUGCUACCAAGACAGUAAAGGAUAAGACAUUCUCAUGUCAAUUAACAUCCUCUUGAUAACAUUUAUGUGGAAACUGGAAAUUAUUUUUUUAUUCCAUCUAAACAGGAGACCACAUUUCCAAAGUUAUUACUGAAUGUGAGAGCUCUGUCUUACUACCUCUACCUGCCAUCAAGCCUUUUUGGAAAUGGAUGUAGAUAAUUAUCUUAUUCACACUUAUUUAGCAAGCAUUUUGCAGCAGUACUCAGAAUUCAGAGAAGAAGAGACACUUGUGGGGUGAUGGGCUUUAGCAAAUGCUUAGGCUUUGUGCACAGGACUGUUGCUGAGCACUUUAUUCAGAAAAAUAAAACAUCUUCUGGUCUCCCCAACAAAUUCGUAAGUGGGGAAGGAUGGCCCGAGAAAAGCAUGGGUGUGAAAAAGAAAUUCACUGAGUACUUCCCUCCCUUUUCUCAAAGCUUAAGUGCCCUGGUGGAAGGGGGGGGGGUAUUUGUACAUGGAGAGGCUCCUUGAAGGAAAUUGAGAAGGCUUUCACCCACUUACAGAGUGAGAUAGAGUGAAGUUAAAUGAGGCAUAUAAAAGAAACUGACUUAAGAUUCUCCCCAAUCUACUAUCCUUCUGCAAGGAAGCAGUGGUGGUAUUUUCUACUUUCAAGAGUUUCUUAGGAUAAAUCCCACCACUGAGAUACAAAAUCACAUAUUUGAAGACCAUAGGAGACAUCCUAGUCCAUCAAAAUUAAAGCAGGUGUUAGCCUGUGCUUUGCCUUUGACUUAACGUGCAAACCAUCUAAGUCUUAUUUCUUCACCUGAUUGGUACACCCCACUCCUGCCUCUGUGCUUCGGUAUCACUUUUAUACACAGAGCAUCCAAACAAAGGUUCAUUGCCAGGAAAAGGCUCCACCUCUAAAAACAUUUGCAAAUCAAAGGAAUGAAUGAUGUCUAAGAGUACCGGAGGUUUUCUGUCUAGGAUUCUAACUUCGAAAUUCUUACCGUUUAGAAAGGCUCUGUAAGGAUUUUGUCAAACAUGCGAUGUUCCCUCUGCCAGCUAGUCUGCUGUUCUCGGGGGAGACCCCUGCUUGGGAAUCAGUUGAAAUCUCAGAAUGGAGUUAUGGUCAUCGGAAUUCAACAGACGGUUUCCAGUGUUUUGUAAAGUUUCCUUUUGCUCCUGUCUUGGUUUAUAAAAUUCUUUUGUACUACAAAGUCUCCACAGCACUAAAACAGCAAAGGAAGGCACACAGUAUUCCAGGAGCACCAGGAUGUCAGAUGCUGCAUUUUGUCAGGUUUGGAGCAUGAGCUGAGAGGCAUCAUCAUCAUGUCAAUUUUCCUGACAAGGACGCUGAGCCCUGGGAGUAGGAUAACUUGCACAGGGCACCUUGAAGGGUCCAAAGCACUGUUACGAUGUGAGCCCAGGGCUUUCUGAACUAAAGCCCUGGAGGUGUGUUUAAUUACCACAAUUGUAGAGGGUGGGACUACCAGAAUCCAGAAAGUCCAUAAACAUUCUACAAGGCAGGAUGCACUCCACAAGGCCACACUUGCAUUUCAUCCCACUCUCCUUAGGUUGAGAGCCCAAAGCUUCAGACAGCUUGUCGAAAGUCUGCUGACUACACUGGAAUCCAAACAUCUGAGCCCAUGACUGGAGCCAGUGGUGUUUCCUGAGCCACAGACUCCAAAAAGCCACGAUGCCCAGCAGUGGGGAAAAUUGGGGCCUCUUGUCAAAAGCCCGGGGUGCUAAGUAUUACUGGAGAUUUUCAGCUAGUGGAGAAAAAAAUGUCAAAUGUAUAAAUAAAAGCAGUUACACAACUUUAUUUUGUUAACCCAGGAAACCCAACAGUGUUCAGAUUGAGCUCAAAGUAGAGAAUAGAUUUAGAAAUAACCCAAAGUGUUUCAGCAAGAACAGUUACUCAGAAUGUUGAGAACAGUAGGAACAGAAUCAAUGGUCAAUUAAUAAACAAGGUACAUAAUU
rnacentral:lncRNA from 1 species